rnacentral:snoRNA from 1 species
AACCCAUGGUGAGGGCAUCUUGUCAAGAGGUCCUCGUAUCUCUCCCAUGCAUCAUUGAGUGUUUCUAAAUCCAUUUGCACAAAAGAAGAUAUAUCAUUACGAAAUUU